GUGAAUCAUCAAAUUUUUGAACGCAAAUUGCACUCUCCUCGGAGAGUAUGCCUGUUUGAGGGUCAGCCUAUAAAAAAUCGACAUCGUUGCUGUUUCACGGUGACGUUCGUCGGAAAUUGGGUCAUCUUAAAUCUUUUGGGUUUAAGCGACUUAAAAUUUUCUUUUUGAUUCCAUGAACGUGUUUCUAAUAUUUAUUUCUUUACGCGUUUGAUAUAGCUAUUUUUAUUACAUGUCACU
rnacentral:misc_RNA from 1 species